CUAGAAAAAUUUAGAGGAAUGGCCAGAGUAAUGCUAAAAGAUGGUAAAUCCUGUCGCUUUUGGGAUGAUCUUUGGAGCGACGAAAUUUUAUCCCACAGAUUCCCCGAGUUAUACUCUGCUAAGAAGAAGAAAAUCAGUACUGCUGCUGGUCUGUCUACUACCCAGAUUCAAGAUCUUUUUCAUUUACCGCUUUCUCAAGAAGCCUUUCUACAGAUGGGGCAGCUUCAAGAAACAAU
rnacentral:lncRNA from 1 species